rnacentral:lncRNA from 1 species
GUCUGUUUACUUACAAAGCGUCUCUAAGAUGCUGCAUUUUGGGGGUCAUUUGGUUCUCAGUAUCAUUUCCACAAGAUAUAUGGAGCACAAUGGCUGCUUACUUUAUUAAAGUAGCAAUUCCUCCUUCUCCAGGAACAUCUCACACCACAUUGCAAAUUCUCUGACACUUUUCCAUUUCCAGUGUCAUUAAAUGAGUAAGUGUUACACGUUUUCUCUUAGGAGAGUAGCUUUACCCUCCCCUCCCUCCCCUUCUACUCAACCUGGUGACUCAUCUCUCCGAUUGCAAAGAGCAAGACAAGCCACUCCACCUUCAACGCCAAAGCGGGGAUCUGCUGGGGCACAAUUUGCAAUUUAAGGAAAAACCCCAAAGGCUACAGGCGACCUGCUGAUCAGGAAAGAAUUUCGCUCUUGUCCAGCGCAUCAUCCUUCAUGACCACUAACUUUAUGUUUCUUUUCUUUCCUCUGUUGUUCUGUUUCCUAUUUUUGCCAGGAAGUAUUUCCAUAGUUGCUGAGAAUCAAAGCACAAAAGAAAUCCCUACCUAUGUAAAUGUUUGAAUGGAGGACGCCAGUAAAAAAACAAAAACAAAAAAACAAAAACAAAAAAAAAUCAAAACAAAAAAUAAAAAUAAAAACAGUCAAAAUCCAAACAAACAAAAACAAACACUCACUGCACCGGGACUUUUAAUUCUUCUAACACAGACAACAAGGGUUUUUAGCUUUAAGCCUGUGCAUGUGGACAAUACCUUGAGGACAUGUCUGGAGGGGCAGUGUACAGGUGCUCUAUUUUAAUGGAAAACACUCCCCUCCCCUUUUCUUCUCUUUUUUCUGAUCGGUCGUGUUUGUAGAAAAUUCAUAACAUAUAUAGGCCAAGGAAAUCUGCAUGUAUUUUUGGAAAUAUUCUUGGCUCUAGAUUUAACAGCUAUUUUAGCACUCCUGGCCGAGGGGUGGAUUAGCCAUCCCUGGCCCUUUCAUAAGACACAAAGACAUGCACAGGGAAACCCUGAGCUGUUUCUCUGUCCCACUGUCCUUACUGUCGUUUGCCCCUUCUAAGUUAGCGGUGGUAGCUUUGUUGGUCAGCAGAGGCCACAAGGCUGCUUUCUCUCUAUUCUCUGUGGCCACAGGGACAAAGAUGCAAGUUGAAGAUCAUGUGUGCAGAUACACUAGGACAAAAAGAGGGGCAGGGAAGCAAAGCACGUCAGAAACGGACCUUUGUUUCUUGUUCAGCUUUUCUCCUUGCCGCUUUCCCUACUCCCUUCCCAACUGAAGUAGAAGAUGGAAUUUUUUUCUAGUAAUUACCCUCUGUCUUGCCUUCCCAUUUGUUUGCCAUCCCUGUGUACCCAUGAUCCGUCCAUGUUUUUUUUUUUUUUUUUUUUAAACUUCAUGGUUGCCUUUAGUUUUUUUC